AUUGAACGCUGGCGGCAGGCUUAACACAUGCAAGUCGAGCGGGGGAAGGUAGCUUGCUACUGGACCUAGCGGCGGACGGGUGAGUAAUGCUUAGGAAUCUGCCUAUUAGUGGGGGACAACAUCUCGAAAGGGAUGCUAAUACCGCAUACGUCCUACGGGAGAAAGCAGGGGAUCUUCGGACCUUGCGCUAAUAGAUGAGCCUAAGUCGGAUUAGCUAGUGGGUGGGGUAAAGGCCUACCAAGGCGACGAUCUGUAGCGGGUCUGAGAGGAUGAUCCGCCACACUGGGACUGAGACACCGCCCAGACUCCUACGGGAGGCAGCAGUGGGGAAUAUUGGACAAUGGGGGGAACCCUGAUCCAGCCAGGCCGCGUGUGGGAAGAAGGCCUUAUGGUUGUAAAGCACUUUAAGCGAGGAGGAGGCUACUUUAGUUAAUACCUAGAGAUAGUGGACGUUACUCGCAGAAUAAGCACCGGCUAACUCUGUGCCAGCCGCCGCAGUAA
rnacentral:rRNA from 1 species